rnacentral:rRNA from 1 species
GUGGUCGGUGGACAGGUGGUGCAUGGUUGUCGUCAGCUCGUGUCGUGAGAUGUUGGGUUAAGUCCCGCAACGAGCGCAACCCUCGUCCUAUGUUGCCAGCGGGUCAUGCCGGGGACUCAUGGGAGACUGCCGGGGUCAAACUCGGAGGAAGGUGGGGAUGACGUCAAAUCAUCAUGCCCCUUAUGUCUUGGGCUUCACGCAUGCUACAAUGGCCGGUACAAAGGGCUGCGAUACCGCGAGGUGGAGCGAAUCCCAGAAAGCCGGUCUCAGUUCGGAUUGGGGUCUGCAACUCGACCCCAUGAAGUCGGAGUCGCUAGUAAUCGCAGAUCAGCAACGCUGCGGUGAAUACGUUCCCGGGCCUU